GAAAUUUCGGAUUAAUACCCCAUAAUAUACCGAAGAGGCAUCUCUUUGUUACUUACACGAAUUUAUUCACUUGAACGACUGGCUGUGCGGCCUGAUUAGCGCUAGUUGGCGGGGUAACGGCCCACCAAGCCUGCGAUCAGUAACUGGUGUGACGAGCACGACAGUCACACGGGCACUGAGCACACGGGCCCCCACUCCCUACGGGAGGCAGCAGUAAGGAAUAUUGGUCAAUGGACGCAAGUCUGAACCAGUCCAUGCCGCGUGGACGGACUGAAGGUCCUCUGGAUUGCAAACCUUCUUUACUAUGGGACGAAAAAAGGCCUUUCAGGCUCNUCUGACGGUACCCACCAUGAACUAACGCANCCGGCUUAAACUCCUGUGCCCAAGCAAGCCCGGCAGCGAUANNAUACGCGACAGCAGGGGUUUCGCNAANACCCGCNCGUUUUUCAUUCCCCCGGGGGGAAUUUUCACAAGUUUGGGCUGAGUUUUCAANACACCGNGGGAUUUGCCCNAGAUAAGAAGCAUGGGCGCAAUAUGGCGUCAAACCCACUUCAAUGCACUUGCGCUCACGAAAAACAUCUNUUUCNCACACGGGANCGU
rnacentral:rRNA from 1 species